rnacentral:rRNA from 2 species
GAAAGCCUUUGGCUUAACCAAAGAAGUGCAUCGGAAACUGUCAGACUUGAGUGCAGAAGAGGACAGUGGAACUCCAUGUGUAGCGGUGGAAUGCGUAGAUAUAUGGAAGAACACCAGUGGCGAAGGCGGCUGUCUGGUCUGCAACUGACGCUGAGGCUCGAAAGCAUGGGUAGCGAACAGGAUUAGAUACCCUGGUAGUCCAUGCCGUAAACGAUGAGUGCUAGGUGUUGGAGGGUUUCCGCCCUUCAGUGCCGCAGCUAACGCAUUAAGCACUCCGCCUGGGGAGUACGACCGCAAGGUUGAAACUCAAAGGAAUUGACGGGGGCCCGCACAAGCGGUGGAGCAUGUGGUUUAAUUCGAAGCUACGCGAAGAACCUUACCAGGUCUUGACAUCUUGCGCCAACCCUAGAGAUAGGGCGUUUCCUUCGGGAACGCAAUGACAGGUGGUGCAUGGUCGUCGUCAGCUCGUGUCGUGAGAUGUUGGGUUAAGUCCCGCAACGAGCGCAACCCUUGUUACUAGUUGCCAGCAUUCAGUUGGGCACUCUAGUGAGACUGCCGGUGACAAAC